AGGGCAGGGCUCAGGCUGAAGAGGCACAUAAAUAAAGUGCAUGGUCCACGUAUAUGUGAUAAUCUCAACUGUACACUGGGCCCAGGCAAGAAAGUAAAAUUACCCAGGUGCUAGACAAAGGUAUGAGAACGAUUUAUGUUCCUGUGAUCUGGGUAGAGAAAUGGACCAAUAUCCCUCCUGUGGCUCAAUGACACAUGACAGGUACAAUUCCAACAGAAGACGGUAUCUGUCAGUAAGGCUCAGGACCUGUCAGAAUCCUGCCCUUCCUUCUGUCUCCAGAUCUAAGUCCUCCAAGAAAUGCAGGUGCUUCAGUGACAAGAGAUAAUCGUCAUCUUCUAACUGAGGAGGAAUUUGGGGUUUGGUUCCAGUCCAUGGUGUGACACAGUCAGAAUAAAAGGUGAGGGUCUAGCAGAUUAACCGAGGGUAGGGGAAGACUCUGUUAUGU